GAACGAACGCUGGCGGCGCGUCUUAAGCAUGCAAGUCGAACGGCAAGAGGUAGCAAUACCUCCUAGAGUGGCGGACUGGUGAGUAACACGUGGGUGACAUACCCUUCAGAUGGGGAUAGCUAUUAGAAAUAGUAGAUAAUACCGAAUACGAGCACAGGGGUUAGAGAUCUGUGAGGAAAGGAGCUAAGGCUCCGCUGAAGGAAUGGCCUGCGGCCCAUUAGCUAGUUGGUGAGGUAAGAGCCCACCAAGGCGAUGAUGGGUAUCCGGCCUUAGAGGGUGAACGGACACAUUGGGACUGAGAUACGGCCCAGACUCCUACGGGAGGCAGCAGCUAAGAAUAUUCCGCAAUGGACGAAAGUCUGACGGAGCGACGCCGCGUGGAUGAAGAAGGCCGGAAGGUUGUAAAAUCCUUUUGAAACUGAAGAAUAAGCGUUGUAGGGAAUGACAGCGUGGUGACAGUAGGUUUUGAAUAAGCAACGGCUAAUUACGUGCCAGCCGCGGC
rnacentral:rRNA from 1 species